AUACGUAGGGGGCGAGCGUUGUCCGGAAUGAUUGGGCGUAAAGGGCGCGUAGGCGGCCCGGUAAGUCUGGAGUGAAAGUCCUGUUUUUAAGAUGGGAAUUGCUUUGGAUACUGUCGGGCUUGAGUGCAGGAGAGGGAAGUGGAAUUUCCAGUGUAGCGGUGAAAUGCGUAGAGAUUGGGAGGAACACCAGUGGCGAAGGCGACUUACUGGACUGUAACUGACGCUGAGGCGCGAAAGUGUGGGGAGCAAACAGGAUUAGAUACCCUGGUAGUCCACACUGUAAACGAUGAAUGCUAGGUGUAGGGGGUAUCGACCCCUUCUGUGCCGCAGUCAACACAAUAAGCAUUCCGCCUGGGGAGUACGGCCGCAAGGUUGCAACUCAAAUGAAUUGACGGGG
rnacentral:rRNA from 1 species